UGCCGCGUGAGUGAAGAAGGCCUUCAGGGUUGUAAAGCUCUUUCGGCCGGGAAAAAAUCGCAUGGGUUAAUACCCUGUGUGGAUGAUGGUACCGGAAUAAGAAGCACCGGCUAACUACGUGCCAGCAGCCGCGGUAAUACGUAGGGUGCGAGCGUUAAUCGGAAUUACUGGGCGUAAAGCGUGCGCAGGCGGUUUGAUAAGACAGGCGUGAAAUCCCCGGGCUCAACCUGGGAACUGCGUUUGUGACUGUCUCACUAGAGUACGGCAGAGGGGGGUGGAAUUCCACGUGUAGCAGUGAAAUGCGUAGAGAUGUGGAGGAACACCAAUGGCGAAGGCAGCCCCCUGGGUCGAUACUGACGCUCAUGCACGAAAGCGUGGGUAGCAAACAGGAUUAGAUACCCUGGUAGUCCACGCCCUAAACGAUGUCAACUAGGUGUUGGGUGGGUAAAACCAUUUAGUACC
rnacentral:rRNA from 1 species